AAAUUGAAGAGUUUGAUCAUGGCUCAGAUUGAACGCUGGCGGCAGGCCUAACACAUGCAAGUCGAGCGGUAGCACAGAGAGCUUGCUCUCGGGUGACGAGCGGCGGACGGGUGAGUAAUGUCUGGGAAACUGCCUGAUGGAGGGGGAUAACUACUGGAAACGGUAGCUAAUACCGCAUAAUGUCGCAAGACCAAAGUGGGGGACCUUCGGGCCUCAUGCCAUCAGAUGUGCCCAGAUGGGAUUAGCUAGUAGGUGGGGUAACGGCUCACCUAGGCGACGAUCCCUAGCUGGUCUGAGAGGAUGACCAGCCACACUGGAACUGAGACACGGUCCAGACUCCUACGGGAGGCAGCAGUGGGGAAUAUUGCACAAUGGGCGCAAGCCUGAUGCAGCCAUGCCGCGUGUGUGAAGAAGGCCUUCGGGUUGUAAAGCACUUUCAGCGGGGAGGAAGGCGUUGAGGUUAAUAACCUCAGCGAUUGACGUUACCCGCAGAAGAAGCACCGGCUAACUCCGUGCCAGCAGCCGCGGUAAUACGGAGGGUGCAAGCGUUAAUCGGAAUUACUGGGCGUAAAGCGCACGCAGGCGGUCUGUCAAGUCGGAUGUGAAAUCCCCGGGCUCAACCUGGGAACUGCAUUCGAAACUGGCAGGCUAGAGUCUUGUAGAGGGGGGUAGAAUUCCAGGUGUAGCGGUGAAAUGCGUAGAGAUCUGGAGGAAUACCGGUGGCGAAGGCGGCCCCCUGGACAAAGACUGACGCUCAGGUGCGAAAGCGUGGGGAGCAAACAGGAUUAGAUACCCUGGUAGUCCACGCCGUAAACGAUGUCGAUUUGGAGGUUGUGCCCUUGAGGCGUGGCUUCCGGAGCUAACGCGUUAAAUCGACCGCCUGGGGAGUACGGCCGCAAGGUUAAAACUCAAAUGAAUUGACGGGGGCCCGCACAAGCGGUGGAGCAUGUGGUUUAAUUCGAUGCAACGCGAAGAACCUUACCUGGUCUUGACAUCCACAGAACUUUCCAGAGAUGGAUUGGUGCCUUCGGGAACUGUGAGACAGGUGCUGCAUGGCUGUCGUCAGCUCGUGUUGUGAAAUGUUGGGUUAAGUCCCGCAACGAGCGCAACCCUUAUCCUUUGUUGCCAGCGGUUAGGCCGGGAACUCAAAGGAGACUGCCAGUGAUAAACUGGAGGAAGGUGGGGAUGACGUCAAGUCAUCAUGGCCCUUACGACCAGGGCUACACACGUGCUACAAUGGCAUAUACAAAGAGAAGCGACCUCGCGAGAGCAAGCGGACCUCAUAAAGUAUGUCGUAGUCCGGAUUGGAGUCUGCAACUCGACUCCAUGAAGUCGGAAUCGCUAGUAAUCGUAGAUCAGAAUGCUACGGUGAAUACGUUCCCGGGCCUUGUACACACCGCCCGUCACACCAUGGGAGUGGGUUGCAAAAGAAGUAGGUAGCUUAACCUUCGGGAGGGCGCUUACCACUUUGUGAUUCAUGACUGGGGUGAAGUCGUAACAAGGUAACCGUAGGGGAACCUGCGGUUGGAUCACCUCCUUACCUUAAAGAA
rnacentral:rRNA from 1 species